rnacentral:rRNA from 1 species
GAUGAACGCUAGCGAUAGGCCUAACACAUGCAAGUCGAGGGGCAGCAUAAGGAAGUAGCAAUACUUUCUGGUGGCGACCGGCGCACGGGUGAGUAACACGUAUGCAACCUGCCUUCAACAAGGGCAUAACCCGUUGAAAGACGGACUAAUACCCUAUAAUACAGGGGCCCCGCAUGGGGAUAUUUGUUAAAGAUUUAUCGGUUGAAGAUGGGCAUGCGUUCCAUUAGCUGGUUGGUGGGGUAACGGCCCACCAAGGCAACGAUGGAUAGGGGAACUGAGAGGUUUAUCCCCCACACUGGUACUGAGACACGGACCAGACUCCUACGGGAGCAGCAGUGAGGAAUAUUGGUCAAUGGACGCAAGUCUGAACCAGCCACGUCGCGUGAAGGAAGACGGCCCUACGGGUUGUAAACUUCUUUUAUACGGGAAUAAAGUGCCCCACGUGUGGGGUUUUCAAGUACCGUAUGAAUAAGGAUCGGCU